CGCACAUUGCGCCCCCUGGUAUUCCGGGGGGCAUGCCUGUUCGAGCGUCAUUACAACCCUCAAGCUCAGCUUGGUAUUGGGCUCGCCACUCAUCUGGCGGGCCCUAAAAUCAGUGGCGGUGCCGUCGUGGCCCUGAGCGCAGUACAUCUCCUCGCUACAGGGACUCGGCAGUCCCAGCUAAACGACCUGAAUUUUAUCAAGUCUGACCUCGGAUCAGGUAGGGAUACCCGCUGAACUUAA
rnacentral:misc_RNA from 1 species